rnacentral:lncRNA from 1 species
CAGUAAAAUCAGAGAUUAAAUCUCAAAUAAUCAGAAUUAAACCUUCACGGAGGCUUGAAAGUGUAGACCCUCUACUUCGCAUGUACGCCAAACGUCGUAGGAAAGCAGGAUGAACUCCAAUCGAAUCACCUUCGCAAUCCAAUAAAAUGAGGAAGGAUAUGUGCUGGUGUGAUACCUCACACAAGCAGGUGGGAUGCCCAAGGAGGGACCACACCC